rnacentral:rRNA from 1 species
AUUGAACGCUGGCGGCAGGCUUAACACAUGCAAGUCGAGGGGUAUGCCGAUUUAUCGGCAGAGACCGCCGCACGGGUGCGUAACGCGUAUGCAAUCUACCUUUUACAGAGGGAUAGCCCAGAGAAAUUUGGAUUAAUACCUCAUAGUAUAGUGACUCGGCAUCGAACUACUAUUAAAGUCACAACGGUAAAAGAUGAGCAUGCGUCCCAUUAGCUAGUUGGUAGGGUAACGGCGUACCAAGGCUACGAAAGGUAGAGGUCCUGGGAGGGAGAUCCCCCGCACUGGUCCUGAGGCACGGGCCAGACUCCUACGGGGGGCGGCAGUGAGGAAUAUUGGACAAUGGGCGCAAGCCUGAUCCAGCCAGGCCGCGUACAGGAUGACGGUCCUAUGGAUUGUAAACUGCUUUAGUACGAGAAGAAACACCCCUUCGUGAAGGGACUUGACGGUAGCGUAAGAAUAAGGAUCGGCUAACUCCGUGCCAGCCGCCGCCGUAAUAC